AAAAACUUCAUCAAAUCCUAUCACAUGACUGAUCACCGCUGCGCCAAGUCUGGAGUCAUUUUUGUUACAAAGAAAUCAGGUCGUCAGAUCUGUGUGGCUCCGACUCUGUCCUGGGUCGAGAACAUCAUGAAGUUCGUGGAUGAGAGCUCCUUUUAAACGGGUGACCUGCUCAUCACGAAGACGUCUUCAUCAGUAAAAAUUAAAUCAGAAUGUUGUUUCCUUUCUUUUAAUUUUGCUUUAACAUGUUUUUUUUAUUAUUAUGCUCAUUAUCCAACAGUAUAAACCUUGUUGCAAUAAAGUUUGUAGUUUUAAAUGUU